AGUAGGGAAUCUUCCACAAUGGGCGAAAGCCUGAUGGAGCAACGCCGCGUGAGUGAAGAAGGAUUUCGGUUCGUAAAACUCUGUUGUAAGGGAAGAACAAGUACAGUAGUAACUGGCUGUACCUUGACGGUACCUUAUUAGAAAGCCACGGCUAACUACGUGCCAGCAGCCGCGGUAAUACGUAGGUGGCAAGCGUUGUCCGGAAUUAUUGGGCGUAAAGCGCGCGCAGGUGGUUUCUUAAGUCUGAUGUGAAAGCCCACGGCUCAACCGUGGAGGGUCAUUGGAAACUGGGAGACUUGAGUGCAGAAGAGGAUAGUGGAAUUCCAAGUGUAGCGGUGAAAUGCGUAGAGAUUUGGAGGAACACCAGUGGCGAAGGCGACUAUCUGGUCUGUAACUGACACUGAGGCGCGAAAGCGUGGGGAGCAAACAGGAUUAGAUACCCUGGUAGUCCACGCCGUAAACGAUGAGUGCUAAGUGUUAGGGGGUUUCCGCCCCUUAGUGCUGCAGCUAACGCAUUAAGCACUCCGCCUGGGGAGUACGGUCGCAAGACUG
rnacentral:rRNA from 1 species